CAGGGCAAAAUGGCGAACAAGAUAGCCGCAUGACCGGAACCUCGGUUCGCGUCGAGCAACGCGCGACCAACGUUGCCGCAGGCAACGGCCCGUAGGGCGAGCCGCAACGCGGCGAGUCAUCCUUCCCCCACCACCA
rnacentral:sRNA from 1 species